CUGCCGCGAGAUAUCGCACGGACGGACGCCUAACAACGCCAGCUGGACGAUCCUUCGGCGGACGUAGUCUGGCAGUGGCCGUCCAUUGACGAAUACGCCACCCAAUUGGUUGACCCCGGCUUGACCUGUCCACCAAUAAUAAACCUGUAUGGGGCAUGAUCCAGCGACCGGAAUCCAGCAGUUUAAUAAGGGGCGGAUGACGAGCUAUGAACGAGGGGCGGAAAAAUGACGUCCUGCUGAAACGAUCGAAAUGGGAUUGUUUGAAUAAAACAAAUUCUCCGGAUGAUUGAAAUUUUACCUUUUUGAAAUUGGCGAUGUAUGAAAAUCCGCACAAAACUGGAGAACUCACUUUAAUUACUUGCGACGCAGACGACCGAGUGAACCGACAAGAGCGGCCGGAAUUGCAGCGAUUUGGACUUUUAUAGAUGCGCGGUGAAGAAGUGAUUUCGGAGGAGGAUGAGGCGCCACCAAUCACCGGCGUAUCGGUUUCUGGAGGGGGGCAUAAACGAAACGGCUUUCAAAAGGACCGCACACACACACACACACACACACGGACAAUAACAAAGCCAUUCAUCAAGUCUCAUCGCCGGACCCCCCUAUCCAUAUCCGCUCCUAUACAGGAAGGUUCCGAAGAGGGGGUAAAAAAGGCUCUUUUGUGUGUCAGAUGAGAAGAGUAUUGGCUUGAUGAUUCGCUGGAAAAACGCCGUUUGCGCUGUACACAAGAGCUGCUGGGCCGCGCCAACUGUCCAAUCGAUCAAGUCGUCGCGCACAGUAUAUAGUUACCUCACUAAAUAAAUCGAGAGAAAAAAAGGCGACAGCUAUAAUAUUCUUUUGGGUUGUACACACACACAAUAGGAGCAGAGAGAGACUGUUGAAUGUGCUACGAGUAUAUUAUACACACAUCAACAUACACAAGAGAAGAAGAAGAGUCAGUUAUUUGGUAAGGGGGGCGACAAAGUUACCGAUCCGGAACAUGGAUACCCUCAUCGACUUAUAUGGUAUAUCCCAACAAUGACACGCAGUCAUAUGCGAUGUCACUUGGAAAAAAAUCAAAGAGAGGAUAGCAGAGACUGUUAUAUAUCCUAUUGCUAAAUGUAUUUGAUACGAUUUUUCUUUUAUGUUCUAAAGUUGAGAGCUGUAGUUGAUACUCCCUAUUCAAACGGGGUCACAUUUAUAUAACUACAGACGCGCUCUCAGCACAGAAGUGGAAAAGCUUUUUUUCUGCUAUGACGACGUAAUAGUUGAUUUCGAUUCCGGUGCGCUCUGGCAUCGGCGGAGUGAGAAAAGUUUCCUUCUUCGCGCGUAUCAGGCGCCGGCCAAACUCUCCCCUGAGGAUCCCAGCAUCAUCGGACAAUGUAUAGCAUUCGGGGCUAGUUUGAGCUCUCUCUGUCCUCCUUUGACACACUCCCGACGUCUGCUGCUGUGAGUGUCGUCGGUGCUCUCAAUGUAAUCGAGAAUUCAUAAACCCACUCGCUCCGUGGAUUCAAUUCCGUCCUGCAUGGUGGUGGUGCGUUGCUGAGAAACUCUCUGCCGAAAAGAAAAAAACCCAUUUUCGUUAGCUCUUUUGUCAUCCGGAAAUUGACUGCUGGCCCCUUUAACAAAACAUUAUUUCUCGUCUAGAGCUAUAUAGGAGCAGCAGCAGCCGCUGGCGCAGUUAUUCAAGCGCGGGAUUUUAUAAUUACGGCGAUAGCCAUCGUUUUGUUGAGCCCGCAAAAGACGACGGCGACAAUUGAAAAUAGAUGCGCCGCCUUUAUAUGUGAAGAGCCCGCGCCAUUAUGGAGGUGUAAUCCGGGCUGGUGUGUUUGUGUCUAUCCCUAUCUGUUACGACACCAACAAUAUGAGCCGCGGACGCCUUAUUGGAAACUCUCUCUCACCCCCGGGCGGACAACAGUCGAGAUAAGCAGAACGUGAGCGUUGACAGCACACACACAGCAGCGGAGAUGAUCUGUUUGGUCGUUUCGAAUUGUUGUUUGCUAUUUUUUUUUUCCCGGGCUGCUCUCAAGUGUUGGAUAAUCGAGGAGCGUGUUCACAAAAGGAGCAAACGCGGUAUAUCGAUCAUUACAUGAAUGAAAUAACAACUCGACGACCCUUCAUAUCUCCUCCCCCCCUUUCUAUUGUGAGAGUCGAUGGGAGUCGGCCGGCCGUAACCAGCAACCUAUAUAAUAGAACUGACACUC